ensembl:lincRNA
GGGAUUCCUCUCUUCCAGCCACUGAAACCACAGCUGAGACGCUGGCUGGGACAACUCAGCUGCAACCAAAACCAUCCCAGUAGGAGGCUGAAGGAUGAAGAAAACGGUGCAGAGAGGUCCUGGUGUCCCCAGACUGGCUGAUAGCAGACAGCCUUCCUUUGCUACCUUGGGCACCUGGAUAAGGCACAGACACUCGCCUUCAGCUCUGCAAGGCACAUUGCCAGCUGCCUGCUGGUUGCCCAAAUGGAAUUUCACUUCAUAUUCCUGAGCAUCUAUUUUGGCAUGAGACUCCCCCUCAGCAGAUUCCUGAAUAGCAGCUGCUCUUGAUGAUUGCAAGGGGCCCCGCGGCCUGGUGGGACCAAGGCUUCUGCCGUCUGCUCUCCUCCAAACCUGCCUGUGCU